rnacentral:rRNA from 1 species
UACAGAGGGUGCAAGCGUUGUUCGGAAUUAUUGGGCGUAAAGCGCGUGUAGGCGGCUUCGCAAGUCGGGUGUGAAAUCCCCCAGCUCAACUGGGGGAAGUGCGCUCGAAAACUGCGGAGCUCGAGUACCGGAGAGGAUGGCGGAAUUCCCCAAGUAGAGGUGAAAUUCGUAGAUAUGGGGAGGAACACCGGUGGCGAAGGCGGCCAUCUGGACGGAUACUGACGCUGAGACGCGAAAGCGUGGGGAGCAAACAGG